AGGAAAUGUUACAUGUGUCUAGCAUGGAGAGAAGUUGUCCAUGCAUAGUGACACAUGGGGGUGGUCAACCACACCACCAAUAAUAUUUCUACAACAGUUUAUUUUUUUUUUCUCAGCCUUAUCUGCUGUAACAGAUCCAGUUUUAUUCUCCGCCAUUUUUUCUUCCUUCUGUUCUGUUCCUCUUUUCCUCUUCUCUGUCAUUUUCAAGAGACUGAAUUAAGAGAGGAUUCAUAGAAAAUUAAUAUUGAUGUGUUUUUGGGAGAGAGUUGUUGAUGGAGCCAUAGUUGAUUGAACACAGAACUGUGUUGAUGGAGAGAGUUCUAAGCAAAAUGUGAUGUUUUUACAUAUAAGAAUGAGAAUCGAUGAUGGAGAUAUAGAUCAGGGAAUGGAUGGAAUCAGGAAUAGUUGAUGGUCAUGUUGUCGAUCCGUCUGUUGAUUCGAAAUCAACAGAAAGAUAAAGAGGAUGAGAUAAUAGUGGUGGUUCAAAGAAGAUUUGAUGUUGUUACAAGUUACGGUUAGUGAUUGCAUUUGGGUUCAGUAACAUAAGUGAUAUCGAAGGUUUUCACUGUUCCAGUUUUCCAAUUAGAAUUGCUGGAGAAAUCAAGUCUUUCUCGACGGAAGGAUGGGUUGCACCAAAAAUCUCUAGAAGGGCUGAAAAGUUCAUGCUCUACAUUCUUAAUGCUGGGAAGAAAGCUCUGGAUGAUGGUGGGAUCUCGGAAGAGGUCAUGAAUGAAUUGGGUAAAACUAGGCCGACGUCUGUCAUUCUUAUCAAAUCCUGAAAAGAGGUGGAGUAAAAUAGGAAAACAUUGUCGUUUUCAUGAAUGAUGACAUCACGCUCAAUGAGGAAAACCCUAGGCCUGGUGUCAUUAUUAACCACCAUAAAGGUUAAGACGUUUAUGCUGGAGUUCCAAAGGAUUAUGUAGGCCGCAAUGUUAUUGCUCACAACUUAUAUUGAGUUCUCCUUGGAAAUAAAACUGUUAUUAAAGGGGUGGUGGAAAGGUCCAAAUGAUCAUAUCUUUAUCUAUUACAGUGAUCAUGGUGGUCCUGGGGUGCUCGGUUAUGUUGGCACGAAGUAUAUUAAUUUGUUGUUCACAUUUUUUCGACUGCAGGGAUGCCAUCGUAUUCUUACCUUUACGCAAAUGAUCUGGUUAAUGUGUUGAAGGAAAAACAUUCUUUAGGAGCAUAUAAAAGCUUGGUGACUUCCUAAUGUUUCUGAUAUGUGUGUUCGACGUUUCUAAGGAGUUUCUUAUAAGAUUACAAAUUUAUGUUGCAUACUUUAUUUUCUAUGAUUCUUGUAGGUGUUCUAUCUCGAAGCUUGUGAAUAUAAAAGUAUUUUUGACGGUAUUCUUCCAAAAGGGUUAAAUAUUUAUGCAACCACAGCAUCAAAUGCAGAAGAGAGCAUUUGGGGAACCUACUGUCCUAGAGAGUUCCCUAGUCCUUCUUCAGAAUAUGUAGCUUGUCUGGGUGAUUCGUAUAGCGUUGCUUGGAUGGAAGAUAGGUUUGCUAUUGUCCCCUCAAUAAGUGAACUUAAACGGGUUACAUUACGACCUUGAUUUUCCUGGUACUGGAUUAUUCCUUAAUUAUAUCUCGGUUAUUAACUUGUGUUGCACUGUGAAUCCAUGAAUAGUGACUACAUAAUUUGCGAAGUGAAACUCUGAAGCAGCAAUAUCAUCUGGUUACAGAAAGGACUCAAAACGCAAAUUUUGCCUAUGGGUCUCACGUAACGCAGUAUGAAGAUCUCGAAGUUAGCAAGGAAGACCUUUUUCUGUACAUGAGUGAUAGAAGCAUUUAUGUGUCUAUUUUGUUCUCAAUAUUCUGUAUUGUUAGACUCGAUUAAGUACUUAUUGUGUUAUUUUGUGUUUUUGUAGAUGUUUUUAGAGAAAUAAGCUCUUACGGCGAUAUUGGCUCGAAAAGUGGUGUUUUACACCCCAGGAUAGAGUACUAAAGGCACCCCAGAAAUGCGCUGGAGGAACCCAGAAAAAAUGCUGAAAACAUCCAAGAAAAAUUACUAUUUACGCCCAAAAAUUACUAUUUGCACCCCACAGCAAGUGCUAAAGGGACACCCGUGCAGGAUUAGGGGGAGGUCAUCUUCUCUUCAAAUUCCAAAAUUAGCAGGAAAACAAGCUUCUUCACUCGAAGAUGUUUUGAUCAGAAUUUGAAGGUGUUUUGGGUAGACUAAAGAGCUAAAACUUCAUGGGUAGAUGUGAUAUGUCCUAACAAAGCUAUUAUGGGUGUUUUUUUGGAUCAUAAUUAGCUUGAAUUGUCGCAAUCAAGAAAUCAGGAAGCACGUUCAAGAAAACGAAUAUCACAGGAUCACAUCAAAUUUAGACGUGUACUCACGUGUUUGGAGAGUGUGGAAUCAAUUAUACAACAUUUAAGAUCAUGUUUGGAGUGUUUAUGCAUCAUUUCAGCGCGUGGAGAGCUAAAUCAGGGAAGAAAAUAUUCCCAGAAUAUUUUUCAUCAAAGCCGAGUAAAGAGAGAAUUAUCUAGAGUUAUGGUGUGAUUAAAUGAGCCUGGGGAGUAUAAAUAGAUUGCUGGUAUCACAUAGAAGGAGGGUCGAGAGUUUGGGGUUGAGAGGAGGGCCAGAGAAGCAGAAAUCACGAGUUUCCCAAACUCUGUUUCUACUGCUGAUGAUGAUGAAGAACACGAAGAACAGACCAGCGAGAACAGUCGUAGCGACAACUGCUGUGGGUCUUAGAAGGCGACAACAACACUUCAGUUUUAUCGUUCUUUUGUGACGCUUUCUGUGGGUCGCACAUUAAUUGUUCUACACCGUUUUCUCUUCUUCUCUCCAUUGUAAACACCAUUUGAGCAAUAAAUAAAUAUUUUGAG